GUGGGGAAUAUUGCACAAUGGGCGAAAGCCUGAUGCAGCAACGCCGCGUGAAGGAAGAAGGGUUUCGGCUCGUAAACUUCUAUCAACAGGGACGAAAAAAAUGACGGUACCUGAAUAAGAAGCCCCGGCUAACUACGUGCCAGCAGCCGCGGUAAUACGUAGGGGGCAAGCGUUAUCCGGAAUUACUGGGUGUAAAGGGAGAGUAGGCGGCAUGGUAAGUUAGAUGUGAAAGCCCGAGGCUUAACCUCGGGAUUGCAUUUAAAACUAUCAAGCUAGAGUACAGGAGAGGUAAGUGGAAUUCCUAGUGUAGCGGUGAAAUGCGUAGAUAUUAGGAAGAACACCAGUGGCGAAGGCGACUUACUGGACUGAAACUGACGCUGAGGCUCGAAAGCGUGGGGAGCGAACAGGAUUAGAAACCCUUGUAGUCC
rnacentral:rRNA from 1 species